rnacentral:rRNA from 1 species
UGCCCAAGAGAUCGGGAUAACACCUGGAAACAGAUGCUAAUACCGGAUAACAACAGAUGAUGCCUAUCAACUGUUUAAAAGAUGGUUCUGCUAUCACUCUUGGAUGGACCUGCGGUGCAUUAGCUAGUUGGUAGGGUAACGGCCUACCAAGGCGAUGAUGCAUAGCCGAGUUGAGAGACUGAUCGGCCACAUUGGGACUGAGACACGGCCCAAACUCCUACGGAGGCAGCAGGC